UACGUAGGGGCCGAGCGUUGUCCGGAGUUACUGGGCGUAAAGCGCGCGCAGGCGGUCCUUUAAGUCAGGGGUGAAAGCCCAGAGCUCAACUCUGGAACGGCCUUUGAAACUAGAGGACUUGGGUACGGGAGAGGUGAGUGGAAUUCCGAGUGUAGAGGUGAAAUUCGUAGAUAUUCGGAAGAACACCAGUGGCGAAGGCGGCUCACUGGCCCGUUACCGACGCUCAGGCGCGACAGCGUGGGGAGCAAACAGG
rnacentral:rRNA from 1 species